rnacentral:rRNA from 1 species
UUGGAGGGCAAGUCUGGUGCCAGCAGCCGCGGUAAUUCCAGCUCCGAUAGCGUAUAUUAAAGUUGUUGCAGUUAAAAAGCUCGUAGUUGAAUUUCGGGAUUGACGUGAUGGUCAUGCCUUAAGGGGUAUGAACUGUUACUGUUGAUUUCUCACCUUCUGGAGAAACUUGAUGUCCUUUAUUGGGUGUCUUGCGGAUCCAGGACCUUUACCUUGAAAAAAUUAGAGUGUUUAAAGCAGGCAUUUUUGCUCGAAUACAUUAGCAUGGAAUAAUAGAAUAGGACGGCAUGGUUCUAUUUUGUUGGUUUCUAGGAUCACCGUAAUGAUUAAUAGGGAUAGUUGGGGGCAUUAGUAUUCAAUUGUCAGAGGUGAAAUUCUUGGAUUUAUUGAAGACUAGCUACUGCGAAAGCAUUUGCCAAGGAUGUUUUCAUUAAUCAAGAACGAAAGUUAGGGGAUCGAAGACGAUCAGAUACCGUCGUAGUCUUAACCAUAAACUAUGCCGACUAGGAAUCAGACGAUGUUAAUUUUUUAAUGACUCGUUUGGCACCUUACGGGAAACCAAAGUGUUUGGGUUC